UUGCGGGUGGAAGUCGCGUCCCGGUAGGCACCGGAGCGCCGGGUAGGGGGCCCGGUUCGUCGUUGAGAGGCGGCGGGCUAAGCGGGGUGUCGAAAGCCUCUUUGGAGGGAUCGAGUGCAUGGGCUGUAGCGGUA
rfam:Mycobacterium kansasii 824 gmk824.contig.1, whole genome shotgun sequence.